rnacentral:rRNA from 1 species
UAGGGAAUCUUCCACAAUGGACGCAAGUCUGAUGGAGCAACGCCGCGUGAGUGAAGAAGGGUUUCGGCUCGUAAAGCUCUGUUGUUGGUGAAGAAGGACAGGGGUAGUAACUGACCUUUGUUUGACGGUAAUCAAUUAGAAAGUCACGGCUAACUACGUGCCAGCAGCCGCGGUAAUACGUAGGUGGCAAGCGUUGUCCGGAUUUAUUGGGCGUAAAGCGAGUGCAGGCGGUUCAAUAAGUCUGAUGUGAAAGCCUUCGGCUCAACCGGAGAAUUGCAUCAGAAACUGUUGAACUUGAGUGCAGAAGAGGAGAGUGGAACUCCAUGUGUAGCGGUGGAAUGCGUAGAUAUAUGGAAGAACACCAGUGGCGAAGGCGGCUCUCUGGUCUGUUACUGACGCUGAGGCUCGAAAGCAUGGGUAGCGAACAGG